AAAUUAUUUGUUAAGAAUGAAAAGCACAAGAAAUCAAGAACAUAACAGAAACUGGCAAUGAAAAAUAGAUGCAGACAAAAUACACGAACAAAAAUCAAGAACAGAAUUGAGCAAUGAAAAAUAGAUGCACUGAAAGAUCAAGAACCAAAAAUGAAGAACAGAAUCAACUCCAGUACAAAUAGA